rnacentral:rRNA from 1 species
CUACGGGGGGCUGCAGUGCUGAAUCAUUCGCCAAUGCGGGAAACCGUGACGGUGCGACGCCGCGUGCAGGAUGAAGGCCCUUGGGUUGUAAACUGCUGUCAGGUUUUAGAAAACUACUAUCGUUAAUACCGGUAGUACUGAUCAGAAUCAAAGGAAGCACAGGCUAAUUUCGUGCCAGCAGCCGCGGUAAUACGAAAUGUGCGAGCGUUGUUCGGAAUCACUGGGCAUAAAGGGUCUGUAGGCGGUUCUAUUAGUUAGUGGUGAAAUACCUCGGCUCAACCGGGGAACUGCCACUAAUACUGUAGGACUUGAGUGUGAAAGGGGUUAGUGGAAUUCCAGGUGUAGCGGUGGAAUGCGUAGAUAUCUGGGAGAACGCCAAAGGCGAAGGCAGCUAACUGGGUCACAACUGACGCUGAGAGACGAAAGCUAGGGGAGCGAACGGGAUUAGAUACCCCAGUAGUC